rnacentral:rRNA from 1 species
UACGUAGGGUGCAAGCGUUGUCCGGAAUUAUUGGGCGUAAAGAGCUCGUAGGCGGUUUGUCGCGUCUGCUGUGAAAACCCGCGGCUCAACUGCGGGCUUGCAGCCGAUACGGGCAGGCUAGAGUUCGGUAGGGGAGACUGGAAUUCCUGGUGUAGCGGUGAAAUGCGCAGAUAUCAGGAGGAACACCGGUGGCGAAGGCGGGUCUCUGGGCCGAUACUGACGCUGAGGAGCGAAAGCGUGGGGAGCGAACAGG